UUCUGCCAAAACACCAUGAAUGGCAUAGAGAUGAACUUCAAAGACACUAAGGAGGACACUCAUUUUCAGAAUAUUUAUGCUUCCUAACCAGAAGAAGAUCCUACCGCGUGGAGCUUUUUUGUGGGAAUCAAGUUCUCACACACCCAUGUAAAACCAGGGCAGAGCUUAGCCACAGGCUCUGCCCUGGACUUUGAAUCUGGAGCAAGUGAUGUAAGGCAAGGGAAGGUCUGGGAUCACUCCUGGGGGAGUUGGACAUCAGCAUGAAGUCACUGCUAGUCUUGUGCUGAACACUCAUAAUGAGGAUAAACUAAUAUUUUUCUUUGUUUUUCAUAUAUCAUAUUAACUUUAAAAAAUAUGUAUUUCGUUAAGAUCAAAACAUGACAAUAAACCUGCAAAGCACCUCA